AUUGAACGCUGGCGGCAGGCCUAACACAUGCAAGUCGAACGCGUGGCGGACGGGUGAGUAAUGUCUGGGAAACUGCCUGAUGGAGUGGGAUAACUACUGGAAACGGUAGCUAAUACCGCAUACCAUCAGAUGUGCCCAGAUGGGAUUGGCUUGUUGGUGGGGUAACGGCUCACCAAGGCGACGAUCCCUAGCUGGUCUGAGAGGAUGACCGGCCACACAGGAACUGAGACACGGUCCAGACUCCUACGGGAGGAAGAAGUGGGGAAUAUUGGACAAUGGGCGCAAGCCUGAUGCAGCCAUGCGGCGUGUAUGAAGAAGGCCUUCGGGUUGUAAAGUACUUGCAGCGGGGAGGCGUUACACGCAGAAGAAGCACCGGAUAAAUCCGUGCCAGCCGCAGCGGUAAUAC
rnacentral:rRNA from 1 species